rnacentral:rRNA from 1 species
GACGAACGCUGGCGGCGUGCUUAACACAUGCAAGUCGAACGGAAAGGCCCUGCUUUUGUGGGGUGCUCGAGUGGCGAACGGGUGAGUAACACGUGAGUAACCUGCCCUUGACUUUGGGAUAACUUCAGGAAACUGGGGCUAAUACCGGAUAGGAGCUCCUGCUGCAUGGUGGGGGUUGGAAAGUUUCGGCGGGUGGGGAUGGACUCGCGGCUUAUGAGCUUGUUGGUGGGGGAGUGGCUUACCAAGGCUUUGACGGGUAGCCGGCCUGGGAGGGUGACCGGCCACAUUGGGACUGAGAUAGGGCCCAGACUCCUACGGGAGGCAGCAGUGGGGAAUAUUGCACAAUGGGCGGAAGCCUGAUGCAGAAACGCCGCGUGCGGGAUGACGGCCUUCGGGUUGUAAACCGCUUUCGGCUGUGACGAAGCGUGAGUGACGGUAAUGGGUAAAGAAGCACCGGCUAACUACGUG